UGUGUGUGUGUGCCCAUGUAUAUGCAGGUAUGAGCCUAGGGGCCAGAGGCCAGAGUCCAAUUCCAAAUGCCUACUCUACUGUUCUUGUAAGUUUAAAGGACAGAGUGUCUCUUUGCUGAGCCCAGACUCACAGGUUUGGCUGGGUUAGUCAGUGAGUUCCAAGGAUCUUCCCGGCUCCAACUCUGGUGCUGUGGCCACAGGCACGCGCCACAGGGCCUGGCUUUUCAUGUGGGUGCAGGAGACCUGAACUCAGGCACUCACUGUUUGCUUUUUCUCACCAAGCCAUUUCCCCAGGGUGUCCUGGGAUCUGUGGGUGUCUUAAGUAAGGUCCAGAACAAGGUCCCUGUGCAGGGGACAAUUUCUCUUGACUCACAUGCUGUGACCCUGAAAUAUUUCCAGGCUCUAUGCAUCCCUUCUGGGUCUGUGCACGGAAGUAUCCAGAGGCCUCGGCACAGAAACCGUGACACCCUUCUGGAGACAUAGACCUUUUGCCAUGUCAGGGUAGAGUGCUGGUCCACAGGGAAACUCGCUAAAGUCAGCUGCAGGCACAGGAUGGACUUGUGGCGAGUGUCCAAAGGCAAGAGAACGGAGACACCACUCAUAUGUCAGAGGGCUCUGGCCUCUCUCCUCUCAAGGAUAAGUGGUGCUAAGAAUAGGCCUAAGAAGAAACCCGGAAACCAUUGCAAUGUAAUCUCCGAAACCUCCCAAUGUAAACUUUCUGUAACUGCUCUGGACACGGAGAGGCCCGAGGAAGAGGUCAAGAGAGAGGGAUUCCAAGAAGCAUCUUCAUAACCAUCUCAGCUGAUAUUUACGUGGCUAAGAUAAUCACAUGGUCCACUAAUUACAGUGCCUGCUCCGGAAGCUCUGUUGGGGAGUGCAGGAAGGAGGAGCCGGAAGUACAUUUUGCACUCAGCAGAACCUCCUGCAGGCCAGCUGCUGCACCCAGCAGGAAAACAUUCCUUACGCUUACCUAACAGGAGCAAGGUCGGUAGGCAUGCAGACAUCAUAAAAAGCUGGGGGCGGAGCCUCAAUGGAUGGGGAGCAACAGGGUGUAGAAGGUAAGAUGAUGCCUCGUCUGCCAAGCAGGAGAAGACUGUACUGAAAUCCCCCUGGGAUGUGUACAGGGGUCGGGGGGGAGUCCUGGGGUGACUCUGGAUCUGCUGAUCCCGAAGAGGCAAAAAGCAUCCAGGAACAAAUGGCAUCCCAAGACAUAUGUGGGACGCAUGAAGAAUGCUGUCAGUUCCUGUUAGGCUUACACUGUCAAGAUGCGGGGCAUCUUCGAGCAGAGCACUGUGCCUUUGCUAAGUUAAGAAUGGCGCAGUGCUGGUUGUAAGCACCGACGAUUUCCCUAUCCUCUCUGAGCACCAGACUAUUAGAAGAUGCAGGAAGAGAGCUUUGGGGCUGCCGACUUCCCUAUGGGAUGGUACUGUCUCAUGGCAAGAACGUGGCAUUUGGUAAAUGUUAAGCAAAAUGGCAUUGACUAGAGCUGGAACCCACAACACUGUGGUCUACGUGCAUACACUUCUUGUCCUUUAACAAAGGGCCAACACUCGUGCACCUGCUGGUGGCUCACCUCACAACCCUUCACAUGGCAGCUCGGACCCUCAGCCAGUGGAUCAGCCCCUCCCAUCAAGGGUGUGGCAGACCCAUGCCUGUUGUCAGCUCGGGCUCCAGCGACCUCACAGUCCUCACUCUGAGUUUCUGAAUGAUAUUCCAGGGUGUGUGUGUGUGUGUGUGUGUGUGUGUGUGUGUGUUGGAUUAUUUUUCCUUUCCUUUGGAAAGUAAUGUUCUUUGCAGCCCUGGCCAUAAAAUGCUCAGGUUAGGGACAAGCAUGGGAAGGCCAGCAGCUGGAAACUCAGUAGCGUCCCCCGCUCUGUGAAUUGCACCUAAAUGCCUUUUAAAGGUGGAUGCUAUAAGAAAGAAAAAAUAAAACCUGCCCACAUUCCUCUCAGUCAUCUGACUGUUGCCCUGCUUAUGUUUCGCGGACCGAGUCACUGUCCUCCUGAGCACUGGGGAAAUCUCUGCUUUCGGCGCUGAGCCUUCUUCCAUGUGUAUUUUACUAAAAAAAAAGUCACUGGCCAUUCGUUCUAGAAACUGUUGGAUUGGUCAAAAGGUUACAGUAUAAUUCAUACCCAGACGGUUCUAGAAUCCAGUGGAAGUGGCCUUUAGCCAAGGGAAGACAGGUAUCAACAGGUGUCCCCAUGAAAGCCUUCCCUCAACCCCUGUAUCCUUUCCAUACUCUACCUAGAUGUCUCCUCUGUGCCCUACCUCAAAACCCUAUCUGUGACCUUCCUUAACCCCCUGCUUGGCUACAGCAUCUUUCCUGAGCCACACCCUGCUCCAAAGCCCACAGGGUUUAUAAUCAAUCCUCACCUCAUUGAUUGAAGCUGGAUCCCGCAGAACAAUGUCUUAGAAGGCUUUAAAGAUGGCACUCAAAUGCCAGGUAUGGGCCACAAGAAACUGCUGUGCUCAGUGGUGUGCAGUCUAACGAUCCACUACUGGACUCAGAUCGGUUGGACGAUGCAUUUUAUCCUUCGGAGGCUGAGCCCUUUUUUCCCCCCUUCACUAAACGAAGCUGAGAAUUCUCUCUCAUCUGAGCUAUUUCUAUUUUCCUCUGAGUUAUCGAGCAAUCAAGGCUGGGGAUACCCAGAAUGCCUGGCACCUGUGAAAGCUUCAAGUGGCUAGUCAUCAGGUAACAAGAUGGCUAGUCACACGAUCUCUACCCACUUUUGCCCACAGUCCCUACGGUUCCUCAGCACAGCCUUCUUAUGGUAACUGAGGAGAAACAAAGUUUUUUGAGUCCACCAUUCCCUAGAAGGCAUAGGAAGACUAGAACAAUGCAAUCUGCUAUUAAGAAGGCUGGGAAUGACCCAAGGACUGGCCAGUUGCUCCAGUCCCCCAUUCCAGAACUAUCUAUCUGGACAAGAGCUCCUAUGUUUAGAGGGUCUGCUGCUGGGUCUGCAUGCAUAAGAACAAUACCAAGGAAGAAUACCAAGAGCUAGAGCUACAGACCCCAGAUACCCUCCAGUGUUCUGAUGUGGAGGGUGGGAGUGGCUUCACCCUCAACCAUGGAUUAGAGACUCCAGAGAAUUGUGUGAACUAGCCACCCAACUUAGAUCUGAGAAAGUAGGUAAUGGGAACUGGGGUAUGGUCGACAGGAGAGCACUUGAAAUGCCCAUGGGUCCUGAGCUCAACACCCACACGAAAAGGAGGCAGAGAGACAAGAAAUG
rnacentral:sRNA from 1 species